rnacentral:rRNA from 1 species
UACGGAGGAUCCAAGCGUUAUCCGGAAUCAUUGGGUUUAAAGGGUCCGUAGGCGGUUUGGUAGGUCAGUGGUGAAAGCCCAUCGCUCAACGGUGGAACGGCCAUUGAUACUGCUAGACUUGAAUUAUUAGGAAGUAACUAGAAUAUGUAGUGUAGCGGUGAAAUGCUUAGAGAUUACAUGGAAUACCAAUUGCGAAGGCAGGUUACUACUAAUUGAUUGACGCUGAUGGACGAAAGCGUGGGGAGCAAACAGG